rnacentral:rRNA from 1 species
ACGAACGCUGGCGGCGCGCCUAACACAUGCAAGUCGAACGAGUGAGAGGGAGCUUGCUCCCUCAAGCGAGUGGCGAACGGGUGAGUAACGCGUGAGGAACCUGCCUCAAAGAGGGGGACAACAGUUGGAAACGACUGCUAAUACCGCAUAAGCCCACGACCCGGCAUCGGGUUGAGGGAAAAGGAGCAAUCCGCUGUGAGAUGGCCUCGCGUCCGAUUAGCUAGUUGGUGAGGUAACGGCCCACCAAGGCGACGAUCGGUAGCCGGACUGAGAGGUUGAACGGCCACAUUGGGACUGAGACACGGCCCAGACUCCUACGGGAGGCAGCAGUGGGGAAUAUUGCACAAUGGGGGAAACCCUGAUGCAGCGACGCCGCGUGGAGGAAGAAGGUCUUCGGAUUGUAAACUCCUGUUGUUGAGGAAGAUAAUGACGGUACUCAACAAGGAAGUGACGGCUAACUACGUGCCAGCCGCCGCGGUAA